rnacentral:lncRNA from 1 species
CACUUCAUAUCCAAGCCUUCCAUUGGCUGGAUCAAGGCACGCCUCCAGACGUGACGUCACAGGCUUCCUCCUUUCUGCGGUUUUCACCCAGGCUGGGGCGCCCAGCGUUCUUUGAAAAAGGGGCUGCCAGCGAAGCAGCUCGAGCUCCGUCCGCCUCCCGCCCGCCCCUCCCCCUUCCCGGGCCUGCCUCAUCCUCGGUGGGAGUUCCCUGUGUGUGGGAGUUUCCCCCUCCAGAGGCCAGCGAACAAACGUCACAGGCCCGGAUCUUCAACUCCCGAGUUCCUACCCUGCCCUGAUGGCCACUGGUACCACUCCCCACAGCCCGCUGUACCGGGUCCUGGUCCGGGUGUCUGAGAGCUGCUCUGGAAUAGAGAAGAAGCUGCAGAAGUAUUUCCAGAACCCAUAAGCAAAUGAAGACCCAGAAGAAGAGAACAGUACUGUGGAGAUAAGCCAGCUUUCCUCUCCAACUCAGUCAGUCCCAGAGGAAUUUCCAGAUGGAGGAGGUGCUGCUAGCUCCUCUGAUUCCUUCACUAAGAAGAUAUUUCUCCAUGUAAGGGCCCGGCUGAACUUCAAGCUUUCCAAAGAGCGAAGGGAGGAAAUUAUUAACCUCUGCCCAAAUGUCAAAAUAGAAGGAGGCCUUGAUGGACCUGAGAAAGUGAUUGGUGACUUUGAGGAUAUUAAAAAAAUUUAUCAAUUCUU